rnacentral:misc_RNA from 1 species
UAUCUAGCCGCUCGCCAGAUGUAAUGUCCCAGUGCCUCUGUUCCUUGAUUUCGGUAAAUAUCCAAGGCUUUACUAAUGCACCUCGAGCAAUCAUACAUGUAGAAAGUUCAGGACACUCAAUUUUGUGGUUGUUCCAGUCUACGUAAGAAAAUACAUCACCAUUUCCAAGGACCUGUAAUGACUUGGGUGCCUUCCGUGCGCAUUGAUACACGUAAUCCCAGUCAGCAGGUUUACUGUAGCGCUGUUGACGUGAUCGGCCAUGUAUGGUUACUGCAGUUGCACCCCAACUACCCAUAUCUGCAAUUAGAGAAUCAAUGCGAUUUUUCCCCUCAAAAUAAGCAGUUCGUACCUUGAUAGUUACUGGUGUACUAACUGUUGAAGAAGCAGCUUCUACUACACUCUUCAUCCGCAUUGGUUUUAAAAGAAGAGCUGAUCCAGCACCCUUGUUAACCACAACAUCAAUUGGGCAUCCCAUGUUAAUAUCAAUGAAAUCCACAGAGCAUUCUUGUUCUAUAAGCUCAACUGUCUUUGUAAUAGUGUCUGGAAAUGCUCCACAAAUCUGAACACCAAACAAAUUUUCGGAUGAAUGCCGUCUCAGCAGUGCCCACUCAGCUGCUUGGCCCUGCAAGAGAUUUGUGCACAUUGCCAUCUCUCCACAUGUUACAUCAGCUCCUAGCACCUUGCAAACUCUACGAAAAGGCAGAUUCCCAACUGUAGUCAAAGGAGCAAGAUAGAGCUUGUCUCGAAAAUCAAUAAGUUUUUUUUCACGGGGGUGCAAUUUAAGGCUUUUAUCAGAAUCUGUCAUCGUAUCAGCAGUUGGCUCUGAUUUAUUCACACCAAAGUUGUCAUCAGGAACUCCCCCUUGAACACUUAAACCACUGCUAACUUGGGAGGGACAAAUUUCACUGACAGAUGACUUUGCCUUCUUUAAAGGUCUAGCAUCAUCAGCCAAAUUAUUUCCAUCUACAUCAUCUUCUGGUGAAAUGGAAGGACUGACACUGUCAUUAGCAACUACAUUGCUGUCUGUUUUGGUGUCCGUGGCUGGCUCUUUUGGCGUGACUUGGCCAUUUUCCACAUUAUCGGCCAAUGUUUUAUCUUUAGGAUUGCCCUUAAGUCCAAGAAGUUUGAGAGUGGCUUCAGCCUUGGGAAACUUCAUUUUGUUUUUCCACAGAAGCUUCUGAGUGUCCUUACUGAAAAAAUUUAGUUCAGAACUCUUCCCAGGCAAAUUCUCAGUUGGAGCUGAAACAUUGUCUCUAUGAGUCCCUGCAAACCUACAAGCCAAUCCAUAAGGACAUGGCCCUUCAUAAUCCAGAAAAGGGCAGCUACCCUCUAUAUCAGCUGGUUUCACAGCUUUAAAAGCUUCUACAUCGUGACUAAACCGACAUUUAUCACCAUAUGAACACGCACUAACUUUUCUUGAUUUGGCCACCACAGGACAGAGAUGCAAUGGAGAUUUUUGUUCCUCGCGACGUUCACGCUUAAUUUGGCGUUUGGAUUUUUUGUCCUUAAGAAGAGGAGCUCUUUUGGCCUCAGCUGCAUCAUCAUUUUCGACUCCGACAGUGGUGUUGUUGUUGUUAUUAGUAGAAGGUCUGGAAGGUGGAGGGCGAAGAUACUCUCUCUUCACGGGAGCCUUGGAUUUAGCAACCAACUCUUCUGGGGUUAAAAAUUCUUCGCUCACUCCUCCGUCGGCGGCGUUCGAUGAAGGGGGUUGCAGUGGAGUUUCCGGCUGCGCCACCGCUGUUGCGGUUGCCACCGGCAACUCGUCCACUAGGGUUUCGG